UGGAGGUAGGUUUGAGGUUGAUCCACGUAUUUAUAUUGUGUUUCUUGUUUUGUUUCUUCUUUCUUCCUGCUACACUGCAUGGUAUCAGAUUCUGGUGGCACUAUAAUUGGUAUCAGAGCAAGGUGGUACCAGAGUGUAGGUUGCAACGGUGGUGAAUGAGAUAGAAGAUAGAGAAGACAAGCACAAUUAAGGUGGAGAUCAGCAGGUUUGAUGGAAAAAGUAAUUUCUCUUUGUGGCAGGCAAAGGUAAAAAAGGUGCUCAUCCAACAAGAAUUGAUCGAUGCUCUCUUACGCGAUGAAAAAUCAACCAUCAUGGA
rnacentral:lncRNA from 1 species